GAUGAACGCUGGCGGCGUGCCUAAUACAUGCAAGUCGAGCGAACAGAUGAGGAGCUUGCUCCUCUGACGUUAGCGGCGGACGGGUGAGUAACACGUGGAUAACCUACCUAUAAGACUGGGAUAACUUCGGGAAACCGGAGCUAAUACCGGAUAAUAUAUUGAACCGCAUGGUUCAAUAAUGAAAGACGGUUUUGCUGUCACUUAUAGAUGGAUCCGCGCCGCAUUAGCUAGUUGGUAAGGUAACGGCUUACCAAGGCAACGAUGCGUAGCCGACCCGAGAGGGUGAUCGGCCACACUGGCACUGAGACACGGUCCAGACUCCUACGGGAGGCAGCAGUAGGGAAUCUUCCGCAAUGGGCGAAAGCCUGACGGAGCAACGCCGCGUGAGUGAUGAAGGUCUUCGGAUCGUAAAACUCUGUUAUUAGGGAAGAACAAAUGUGUAAGUAACUAUGCACGUCUUGACGGUACCUAAUCAGAAAGCCACGGCUAACUACGUG
rnacentral:rRNA from 1 species